rnacentral:piRNA from 1 species
AGUGAAGUGAGGCCUCCUAU